CCCGGCGGAAGCCUAGGGAGCGCAUCUCAGGCGAGCGCGAGUCCCGGGUCCACCCCUGCGGAGCCGGCUGAAAGCUGAGGGAGACCCGAGCCUUGGCGCUAGGAUGGGAAACAGUGCCCUCCGCGCUCAUGUGGAAACCGCGCAGAAAACUGGUGUCUUUCAGCUUAAGGACCGUGGGCUGACCGAGUUCCCCUCAGAGUUGCAGAAGCUGACAAGCAAUCUCAGGACCAUCGACUUGUCCAACAACAAGAUCGAGAGUCUACCGCCUAUGAUUAUAGGGAAGUUCACUCUGCUGAAGAGCCUGUCCUUGAACAACAACAAACUGACUGUCCUUCCUGAUGAGUUAUGCAAUCUGAAAAAACUAGAGACACUAAGCCUAAACAACAAUCACUUGAGAGAGCUGCCAUCUACUUUUGGGCAACUAUCUGCCCUUAAGACCCUGAGCCUCUCUGGGAACCAGCUGAGAGCACUACCAUCCCAACUUUGUAACCUACGGCACCUGGAUGUAGUGGAUCUCUCCAAGAACCAAAUUCGGAGCAUACCUGACACAGUGCAGGAGCUGCAGGUCAUCGAACUCAACCUCAACCAGAACCAGAUAGCUCAGAUCUCAGUGAAGAUAUCUUGCUGUCCUCGCCUUAAAGUUCUUCGUUUGGAGGAGAAUUGUCUUGAGCUCAGUAUGCUUCCACAGAGCAUCCUCAGUGAUUCCCAGAUCUGUCUGCUUGCUGUAGAAGGCAACCUUUUUGAAAUAAAGAAACUUCGAGAACUGGAAGGCUAUGAUAAGUACAUGGAGAGGUUCACAGCCACCAAGAAGAAGUUUGCAUGAUGUUCUCCAGGAGCAUGUGAACCAUACAGGACACUGACUUGGAACCUGUUGCAAUCUGGCUGAAUGAAAGGCUCCUGUUGUUGUCAAGGAUAUCUGCAGUGAGGACAUGAUAUUCCAGGAGAUCUGGACCUUGCGGGAGUCCCCUGAACUGAAUCAUAGAAUCUCAUCUGGAGCUAGCCUAGAUCUCACCCAGAGACUGAAAUAACCUACCCCAAGAUCUGUGGAACAGAUGUAUCACCGUCCAUAUCAAUAUGAAAGGGCUCUGCUGAGGUUAGAGGCUGACGACGGACUGCUUCAGGACCAUACUCUACCUUCUCUCUCAUACUGUCCAAGAAAAUCCUGCCUAUGCUUGUCUGGGUACGCAAAGAAAAAUAAAAUUAAUACUUAUGUAGCUCCAUUUCCCACUUUUUAUGAUAUCAGACCACCUUAUUCCCUGCUCUUCCUACUCAUCGGAGAUAAUUUGCUCUAGGUUCUAGGGAGGACUUCCUCUUCCUUGCUCUUCUCUUAAUAUGUAUCUCAGUGAAGUUCAUUUACUUUUUCCCCUGAACUCUUCCAAGAGGGUACAUAGAACAUAGGAGCAAGGUGCAAGUAAGUUUGCAAAACAUAGUUAAAAAAAGAGUUUAGAUUAAAAAAAAUCUGUGCAUUUCUAACUUGUUUGCUGAAAGUAAUCUGCUAAACCCUGAUUCGCAGGUCAUAGUUAUUAAAAUAUGCACUUUUGGAGAGUCAACCAAGGUCUAAAUAGGUCAACAGACUUGUCUUUCUUAGCUUCUUAUGCCCAAAACAAACACUAAAGUUGACCAACAAGUAAUUUAACUCUAUUUUCUCCAGUAGAAAUGGCACAGAGAAUGCUGUCACAUGAAACACUUAUCUGAAAGCAUGACAGAGCAAAACCUCCUCCAUUCCUAACUCCUUUGAGGAGUAAACAAAUGCUGAGAGUCUGUAAACCUUCGUAUCUCAUUUUUGGUUUACCACACCAGCUGAGACAACUGGAUGGAAGCAGUAAUGCUUACAAAGCUCUUUAAAAAUGAAUACUCUCAGCAGAAAGGAUAGUCACUCAAUCUCCAGACAACGUCGUUUCAGCCAAAGGUAAAGUUCAAAGUUGCUUCAUUAAUGACUCCUCAUCUUUGUCUGAAUACAUGUACUUUUGUCAACACCAUGGAGUUUAUAUUAUCCAAGAUUAAGUAGAGAAUUUAAAUGUUAAUAAUAAAGUCACUAAAAAGAAUGAAUUCCUUUCUGUCAAGUAUAAUCUCAUACACUAUACACAAAUAAUUUGAAGACUUUUCAUCUCCUAGUUUACUAGAGGCCUCAAAUCUUCAGAGUCUUCUUUAAUGUUUCCUUCUUCAUGUUUGAUAUAUAAUCAGUUGAUUUAACGUGAAUUUUUUUGACUUACAUUUUUCUCUCUAAUCUUGAUGAUAAAGUUAUACCCCACAGGCCUAGUUUACAAAAGGUUCCUAACUAGUUUCUUGGUGUGCGGUUAUAUACUCCACUCCAAUCAAUCAACCCCUUAGGCUGGCAUUCAAAGUUCCUCUAUUGCCUACUUAUGUAUUAUUUUCCACUUCUCAUCUAUAUGAAUCAUGUAGUACAGUUAAGUCAAGCUCCUCUGUAAUCUUUAUUUAAAUUAAAUCUUCCACAGGAAAUGUCUUCCCACUUCUUUCAUGUCCAUCCAGAUCUUUCUAGUCAUUCAGAGCCCAACUCAAGUCCUAUCUCUCCUAUAAGAUGGUCUCCAAACCAACCUUUAUCAGUUCUAUACCUUUAGCCUCAGUUGAUAUCACAUGAUCUAGCCCUAGAUUUAUAUAGUUCUUACUUUUUGCUAUUCUCUCUCAUAUAGCCAACCACAUGGUAAGUCUUUUGAAGCCAGGAUCCAAGUCCUUUAUUCCCUUGACCAUCCCUCAUGUGCCUACCACAGAACAUAUAUUUUAUUAAUUCUCCUUAUUUGAAGGGAAAAGACACUAAUUCUAUCCUGCUCUGUAUUACCCAGAUGUAUAUUUCCUAACCUUUUCUUGUAUUAUUAAAAAAUGAAAUUGGGACUUGAUCGAAAGAUUGAUCAAAUUUAAGCGAUGGUUUGCGGUGAACAUGCCCAUUUAUACAAAAAGUUUGAUCUGACUGAAGGAGAAACAGCUUCACUUGAUCUAACAAAGUUCCUUAUUUAGGCCCUGUCAUACUUAUUGGGAAGUGGGGAGGGGUGUGCUCUCACUUUAGAUUUAUUUGAAAAAGGUCUUGAUUUAUCAACUCACCUAUUACAGGGGCAUACACAAAGGCCACAGCACUUGUUUAGUUCUGUUAAAGUCUUCUCUGCUUCUCUCAUGUCUUUGUUUAUUUGGUCCAUGCCUUCUUCUACGCGUUUUAGUUGUUCUAAGAAUAAGUUGUGGAAGUUACAUUUUGUGUUACAUUCACGGUGCCAACCAGAAAACGCCAUUAUGAUGGAACAGCAAAAACUUUAACCUCGAAUCCACCAAUAACCCAUCACAGUGACUGUAUCAGGGCCAGAUGGUAUUACAGACUGUCCAGAAUGAAAAUAGUCUUUCACAUACUGAUCCUGGGGCACCUGGCCUCUGACUGUGGAAAGAUUUGUUCUAAAGAAAUUUGUAUAAUAGGAGCAUGUGAGGAUUGGUUUAGACAUCACUUCUGCAACCAAAUUAAGUGUACUGUGACUAGACCAGAUCCCCAGCAUUUCUAUUAUUGGAUAGGCUCAAAACCUGAAGGCUGUCAUAAGACUGAUAAAAACUAGACCAGAUUGCUCAGAGCCAAAUCAAACAGAAUGUUUCCAAGCCUGCCUGAAUCUGACCUAUUUAAGGACUUAACUUGAUUUCUGAAAAUGAUGCAAAAAUAUCAUAAUGUCUAGUUCAUGUACGACCAAUACACACAAUAAGCCCUGCUACAUAAUAAAUACUUGGUAUACAAUGGGGUAUUGUGCCCCCACCUCAAAUAGGCAACAAACAUGAUAUAAUUCAAAUCAGCAGAAAAGAAGUAAAAUGUCACUCUUAUCUUACAAAGGGAAGGUACUCCCAAAGGCUUAAUUAAUUUUAUACACGGCUGAUUUGAAAAGGCUUUCUGGCAUCCUAAAUCAAAUCAAGAAUUUCUGCCAAUGACUGCAACUCACCCCCUUGUUCAUCCAGCGUAGUGAUAGUCUUGAUUCCUGCAUCCUGAGACUAAAAGAAGGGGAAAACGCUGAGAGCACAGCAAAAUAAAAACAAAACAGAAACAGAACCUACAAAGUCUGAAAAACAGCAAGAGAGAAUCAUUAGAAACUUAAGUUUCUCAGAGGACUAGAGCUACAGAGGAAACUAAUCUCCCCAAACCAACACACUUUAACAUAUUAACCCCCCAAAAUAAGUCGCAGACUCAUGGUGAAUUGUCUUCCUUGUCAUAUUCCAAUACUAUCAAUUAGAAAAACAAAAAAGGCCCAUUACUGCAUGGUUUGACCAUUUCAGCAAUUGCUGGUUUCAAAUAAUAAAGCUUAUUGAUACAAUACCCUUCUGAUUCUUAACAGUAAUUCCAGCCGGUGCUAUCAGAACCCCUUCUAUACAGUUACUAUACUUAACUUGAUGAUUAAACACCUUCUUACCUCAAUGGCUAAACCCAGGAUUCUCCUUGUACUUUCCAGAGACUAGGAAAAAACACAGAGUUUCAGCAUUCUACAACAAUUCCCGCCCCCCCGCCGCCCAAAAUCUGAACACAGGCCAUAUUCAUAAUGCUACUCUAUUUUUAAAGAUUGCCAGCCCAUCCACCUCUCCCUUUAAAACAAAAAAAGAAAGCUUAUUACUAUAAUUUUGGUUACUUUCUUCCUACCAGAUGGUCCUUAAGAGAAAAUUUGGAAGGUGAAGUUAAUGGGAUUUAUAAAAAAUUUAAUGUAAGCAGAAAUCUAGGUAUAUUACACAGAUAUUAGAAAAUUCUGUUAAAAUUAAAUGUCAGAAUUCCUCGAAUCUAGAAUAUCUUUGUUGUAAGUAACUCUUCAGUAAUGACUAAAAAAAAACAAAAAAAACAUACAAAUUGUUUUCACUUAUUUAGCUUUUUGAUGAGUUGAAAAAAUAAGGAGCUAGUAAUGGCGCUCUAGAGCAAAUGCAUUCUUUGAUAUAAAGAGACUAGGAAGAAGCCAAAAUGGUCUUCUAAGAAGGUCCUCUCAUCCUUCCACUGUGAAAACUGAAAGAGAAUUAUUACUUAUUCCAAGUAAAACCUUUACCUCAUCAGUAACCUGGUUAGCCCUCAGCUGAAUUUCUUCUGCUGACAGAUUAUCCAUGAUGAAUUAAAACUUGAUAGGUGGAGAAACUGAAAUGUGGAUAU